UACGAAGGGGGCUAGCGUUGCUCGGAAUCACUGGGCGUAAAGGGUGCGUAGGCGGGUCUUUAAGUCAGAGGUGAAAUCCUGGAGCUCAACUCCAGAACUGCCUUUGAUACUGAGGAUCUUGAGUUCGGGAGAGGUGAGUGGAACUGCGAGUGUAGAGGUGAAAUUCGUAGAUAUUCGCAAGAACACCAGUGGCGAAGGCGGCUCACUGGCCCGAUACCGACGCUGAGGCACGAAAGCGUGGGGAGCAAACAGGG
rnacentral:rRNA from 1 species